UCAAACCAACCCAUUUAUGCACAGAUCGAGCUUGUGAUUAGUACCAUCUCCUUCCUCUCGUCAUCGCGAACUCAACCAUACCAAUUGUUGGACGUGAAACCUUGGAAAACCCGAGAACCCAGGCACCCCGAAGAAGGCACUGUUUAUACUCUUGCGAUCGUGGGGGUUUCAUUUGAUUCUGAGCUUAUGGGAAGCUUUAGAUCACCCUCAUGAUGCUCGGAGUACCAUUUUCACGAAGUUUGGACGUCGGGAUUGUGUAGAACCAGAGAACCCAAUAUUUGGUACUGUUCAAGUGCUCGUGGAAUUGAAGGUUUCAAGGUAUUUGGAGCUCAUAAGGAGCUUAAGGACCUCUCCACGAAGCUCGGAGAGGAAGAAUGAGGUGAUUUAGACGUCUGGAGACCGAGAUCGAAGCAUCACAGUUUGGCCGGAAUUAUCGAAGGAUCUCUGGCAAAUUCUCGAAGGUUUUAGGUCCAAAUCUUGGUAAAGUUUUGUUUCUUAUGUUGUAAGUUUCAUUUUGGUGAAGAUUUCAUGAAAAAUGGUUAAGAAUUGACUGAAAUACGAAGCCUGGAAAAAUUUCCAGAAACCGGCGAGUUGCAGCGGCACCGGCGACGGUUUCCGGCGAACCAAGGAAGAAGGAGGAGUAUAUUCCGUCAAGUCUGACGGAAUAUGCUAACGGCGUCAGUUAUAUUAAACGGUAUAUGCUGAUUUUUAACGGAAUAUUCCCUAACUGCCGUUACUGUUACCGUUAGGGUUCCUUGCGCGUGGCCGCGCAUCUUGCCGUGCACUCGCCGGUGCGUGGCGACGCGUGGGUGGUCGGAAAAUUUUUCUAAAAUUAUGGGGUUGUUUGUGAGGUUGAGUAGAUCACUGUGGUAUAUUCAUAUACCCAAAUUGAGCAACGUAUGAGAAGUUAUUUCCAAGGUUUUGAUUAUGUGCUUAAAUAACGUUAUUUCGGUUACUUCUCAUAUAGGCGAGGCUUAUG
rnacentral:lncRNA from 1 species